GAAAAUAAUAAAAGAAAAUUUUGAACAAUGGCCUUCGUUUAUAUCAAUCGAUCUUCUUUUUGUUUGAUUUUGAUCAUUUCAAUGAUUUUUCUUUCAGGAUUAUCAACUGGUGAGUAUAGUCUUUUGGAUUCAGAAUGUCUAGAUGGUGAAUGCAAGAUCACAAAAUGCAUUCAAGAUUGUCAUGAUAAAGGCUAUAAGAAUGGUGGUUACUGUCGUAUAUAUAUUUAUAAGGGUUUGCGUUGUUGUUGUCGUCCUUGAGUCAUUGAAUCAAUCAAUAAAAACUAAAUAAAUAAAAGGCAUAUCUUAUGUAUGUUCAGAAAUAAAGUUUGUAAGAAUAUAUAUUAUGAAAAAUAAAAGAUAUCUUUUAA